GAGCGGCUCUCCCCGAUCCCCCCGUCUGACGUGGCCCGUGCACCAGGAGUGCUCUCCAAGCAUGUGUGAACGGUCUUUGCCAGACACAGCAAAAAUGGACUCUUGAUCUGACUUAGCACAGCCAGGAUUUACACCGUGGGGCUGACCACCAUCCUGACAUUCAGGGUGCCAAGAGACCUCUCCUCGUGCACAGCCUGCCUGUGCAGUCAGAGCGCAGCCCUCCCUCCCCUGCCACAGGCUGCAGCACCGCAACUGCUCUCCCUUCUGCAGCAAAGGUGCAUAAAUACUCCUCUGGCCUUUUUCUGCACAUCCUUGCAAAUAUAACACUCCAUGGCUAUAGAUCAAGAAAACUGAGGUGAGAAGUAAGAGAUGGCAAAA